rnacentral:rRNA from 1 species
AAUCCAGACUCCUACGGGAGGCAGCAGUGGGGGAUAUUGCACAAUGGGGGAAACCCUGAUGCAGCGACGCCGCGUGAGUGAAGAAGUAUUUCGGUCUGUAAAGCUCUAUCAGCAGGGAAGAUAAUGACGGUACCUGACUAAGAAGCCUCGGCUAACUACGUGCCAGCAGCCGCGGUAAUACGUAGGGGGCAAGCGUUAUCCGGAUUUACUGGGUGUAAAGGGAGCGUAGGUGGCAGGGCAAGUCAGAUGUGAAAACCCGGGGCUCAACCCCGGGAGUGCAUUUGAAACUGUCCAGCUGGAGUGCAGGAGAGGUAAGCGGAAUUCCUAGUGUAGCGGUGAAAUGCAUAGAUAUUAGGAGGAACACCGGCGGCGAAGGCGGCCUGCUGGACCGUAACUGACGUUGAGGCUCGAAAGCGUGGGGAGCAAACAGGAUUAGAUACCCGGGUAA